AAGAACUAUUAAUGUGCAUGUCAUGUUACAUAAUGUACCUGUCAUGUACUUUGAUCUACUCGUCAUGAUCUGCUUCGCAUACUAUAAAUUGAUAAGGUACUUGUCGUGUACCUAGAUGUACUCACAAACGAACUGGUACUAAAUAUUGACUCUCACUUGUGUCAUGCGUAAAAUAAAAAUGGUAUGAAAAAUAGGUGUCAGCACACAUGCAGAAAGAAAAAAAAGUGUCAGCACUCACAUGGCAAAAACAUUCACAUGCAAAGGGUC
rnacentral:lncRNA from 1 species